UACGGGGGGAGCAAGCGUUGUUCGGAUUUACUGGGCGUAAAGGGCGCGUAGGCGGUCAGCACAAGUCAGUUGUGAAAUCUCCGGGCUUAACUCGGAACGGUCAACUGAUACUGUGCGACUAGAGUGCAGAAGGGGCAACUGGAAUUCUCGGUGUAGCAGUGAAAUGCGUAGAUAUCGGGAGGAACACCGGUGGCGAAGGCGGCCUCUGGACGGAUACUGACGCUGAGACGCGAAAGCGUGGGGAGCAAACAGG
rnacentral:rRNA from 1 species